rnacentral:rRNA from 1 species
UACGGAGGAUCCGAGCGUUAUCCGGAUUUAUUGGGUUUAAAGGGUGCGUAGGCGGUUUGAUAAGUUAGAGGUGAAAUGUCGGGGCUCAACCCCGAAACUGCCUCUAAUACUGUUGGACUAGAGAAUAGUUGCGGUAGGCGGAAUGUAUGGUGUAGCGGUGAAAUGCUUAGAGAUCAUACAGAACACCGAUUGCGAAGGCAGCUUACCAAACUAUAUCUGACGUUGAGGCACGAAAGCGUGGGUAUCGAACAGG